AGAGUUUGAUCCUGGCUCAGGAUAAACGCUGGCGGCGUGCCUAAUACAUGCAAGUCGAUCGAUAGAAGUCCAGCUUGCUGGACGGAAAUAGAGGCGAACGGGUGAGUAAUACGUAAGCAACCUGCCCACGAAGACUGGGAUAAUCCCUGGAAACGGGGACUAAGACCGGAUAGGUACAGAGAUCGCAUGAUCUUUGUAUUAAAGGUGAGAGACACUGGUGGAUGGGCUUACGGUGCAUUAGCUGGAUGGUGAGGUAACGGCCCACCAUGGCGAUGAUGCAUAGCCGGGCUGAGAGGCUGAACGGCCACAUUGGGACUGAGACACGGCCCAGACUCCUACGGGAGGCAGCAGUAGGGGAUUUUCGGCAAUGGGGGAAACCCUGACCGAGCAACGCCGCGUGAGUGAUGAAGGUCUUCGGAUUGUAAAGCUCUGUUGUAAGGGAAGAACGGCAUCUAUAGAAUAGGUGAGUGACGGUACCUUACCAGAAAGCUACGGCUAACUACGUGCCAGCAGCCGCGGUAAUACGUAGGUAGCGAGCGUUAUCCGGAAUUAUUGGGCGUAAAGGGUGCGUAGGCGGCCUGUUAAGUUUAUGGUGAAAGCGUGGGGCUCAACCCCAUAAAGCCAUAGAUACUGGCAGGCUAGAGUACUGGAGAGGGUAGUGGAAUUCCAUGUGUAGCGGUAAAAUGCGUAGAUAUAUGGAGGAACACCGGUGGCGAAGGCGGCUACCUAGACAGAGACUGACGCUGAGGCACGAAAGCGUGGGGAGCAAAUAGGAUUAGAUACCCUAGUAGUCCACGCUGUAAACGAUGAAUGCUAGGUAUCGGGGCGACCCGGUGCCGAAACUAACGCGAUAAGCAUUCCGCCUGUGGAGUAUGCACGCAAGUGUGAAACAUAAAGGAAUUGACGGGGGCCCGCACAAGCGGUGGAGUAUGUGGUUUAAUUCGACGCAACGCGAAGAACCUUACCAGGCCUUGACAUCCCUUGCGAAAUCCUGGAGACAGGAGGGAGGCUAUCAAGGAGACAGGUGGUGCAUGGUUGUCGUCAGCUCGUGUCGUGAGAUGUUGGGUUAAGUCCCGCAACGAGCGCAACCCCUAUCUUCAGUAGCCAGCAGGUAAGGCUGGGCACUCUGGAGAGACUGCCAGGGAUAACCUGGAGGAAGGUGGGGACGACGUCAAAUCAUCAUGCCCCUUAUGAUCUGGGCGACACACGUGCUACAAUGGCGGUCACAGAGUGAGGCGAACCCGCGAGGGGGAGCAAACCACAAAAAGGCCGUCCCAGUUCGGACUGUAGUCUGCAACCCGACUACACGAAGCUGGAAUCGCUAGUAAUCGCGAAUCAGAAUGUCGCGGUGAAUACGUUCCCGGGUCUUGCACACACCGCCCGUCA
rnacentral:rRNA from 1 species